GCGGCUUAAUUAGACUCAACACGGGAAACCUUACAAGGUCAGGGCAUUCGAAUGAUUGUCGAAUCAUUGGUAUCUGAUGAUUCAGCUUACCAACCAUGAUUGGUAGCUCCUCUUGAUUCAGUGGGUAGUGGUGCAUGGCCGUUCUUAGUUGGUGGAUCGAUUUGUCUGGUUAAUUCCGAUAACGAACGAGACUCUAGCCUAUUAACUAGACGCGUUUGGUAUCGAAUCUACCUGCGCCAACGGUUAAGGAGUUGACGCGGUGCUCAUCACUGUAAAGUUAAAGUCCCAGGUUUGAAUCCAGCGUCCCUACAUUCGAAGCCGACGC
rnacentral:misc_RNA from 13 species